rfam:Angiostrongylus costaricensis strain Costa Rica genome assembly, scaffold: ACOC_contig0002217
GGCCGGAUGGUCUAGAGGUAGGAAUCUCGCUUCUGCUGAGAGUGGCCACGGGUUCGAAUCUCGGUUCGGCCC